rnacentral:rRNA from 1 species
UUUUCAGCAGCCGCGGUAAGACAGAGGGUGCAAACGUUGUUCGGAAUUACUGGGCGUAAAGCGCGUGUAGGCGGCUUGGCAAGUCGGGUGUGAAAGCCCUGGGCUCAACCUAGGAAGUGCACUCGAAACUGCUUCGCUUGAAUGCCGGAGAGGAAAGCGGAAUUCUCGGUGUAGAGGUGAAAUUCGUAGAUAUCGAGAGGAACACCGGUGGCGAAGGCGGCUUUCUGGACGGUGAUUGACGCUGAGACGCGAAAGCGUGGGGAGCAAACAGGAUUAGAAACCCUAGUAGUCC